GAUUUAUCACAUAUAAGCACGUGCUCAACGAUUAUGGAAAUCUGUUUGUCCUAUUUCCAUCUGUGAAUUUUGCAGCUGGGCCUGACUGUUAUUUCAUUCAAUCUAUUAUGGCACUUGCAGGCAAGAAAAGAAAGCGAAGCCCUUGCUGCUGAAGGUGGAUGGACUGUUGUGGUACAUCACAAGGGUCGGAAAAAGACAACAGAUACUGAAAGUGGAAUUACUGUGGGUUCUGUUGCCCAUGCUGCUGUUCUGGAAAAUAUGGCCAAGAAGAAAAGUAAAGAUGUUGGAUUAGAUUUCUACCGGUUCCAGAAAAGAGAGGCCCAGAGGAAUGAGAUUAUGACUCUUCAAAGCAAAUUCGAGCAGGAUAAAAAGCGGAUACAGCAAUUGAGGGCUAAAAGAAAGUUCCGGCCCUACUGAAUGCUGCCGACAAUCUACAAAGAAAGAUCAAUGGCCAAAGCAUCUCACCUGUUCUUUCGAUUAUUAGAAUUUUAUGUUUGAGGAUGGUUCAUUACCUUAACAAUUAAAAACCUUGCUUUCUUUCCCUUCCUUUUUUUGCUUGUAGGAGUGAUGAGAAAAACCAAUUGCACAAUGAUUUAAUGUGAUACAUGUACCGUUUUGAGAUCAAUUACAAAGAUGCUUAAGUUUUUGAAUUA